GCAUCGGUUUGGAUUUAUGGCAGGCCCGUCCCCCUGGGUCUCUCACAGUGCCCCAUGUCAGAGCGAAGAGUGGCCUUAAACCAUCACCUGGCCUCUUGCCCAUAGGCUGCAGGCACUGAAGCAGGUAACACAGUG